rnacentral:rRNA from 1 species
UACGUAGGUGGCGAGCGUUGUCCGGAAUCAUUGGGCGUAAAGCGCGUGUAGGCGGUCCGGUAAGUCCGCUGUGAAAGUCGGGGGCUCAACCCUCGGAUGCCGGUGGAUACUGUCGGGCUUGAGUACGGAAGAGGCGAGUGGAAUUCCUGGUGUAGCGGUGAAAUGCGCAGAUAUCAGGAGGAACACCAAUUGCGAAGGCAGCUCGCUGGGACGUUACUGACGCUGAGACGCGAAAGCAUGGGGAGCGAACAGG